rnacentral:tRNA from 2 species
GGAUGGGUGGCCGAGCGGUUUAAGGCUCCAGUCUUGAAAACUGGCGUGGGGGUAACUCCACCGUGGGUUCGAAUCCCACCCCAUCCGCCA